rnacentral:rRNA from 1 species
GAUGAACGCUGGCGGCGUGCAUAACACAUUCAAGUCGAACGAGGUAGCAAUACCUAGUGGCGGACGGGUGAGUAACGCGUGAGCAACCUGCCCUUGUGUGGGGGAUACCGUCUGGAAACGGACGUUAAUACCGCAUAACGUAGUGAGAUCGCAUGGUCUUAUUACCAAAGAUUUAUUGCGCAAGGAUGGGCUCGCGUUGGAUUAGAUAGUUGGUGAGGUAACGGCCCACCAAGUCGACGAUCGGUAGCCGAACUGAGAGGUUGAACGGCCACAUUGGGACUGAGACACGGCCCAAACUCCUACGGGAGGCAGCAGUGGGGAAUAUUGCACAAUGGGGGAAACCCUGAUGCAGCGACGCCGCGUGAACGAUGAAGUAUUUCGGUAUGUAAAGUUCUAUCAGCAGGGAAGAUAAUGACGGUACCUGACUAAGAAGCACCGGCUAAAUACGUG